UGAACUCUGAAGGAGGAAGCCACGAUGUCAGCUAUCUGAUCCCUUUGUCAUCACUGCUAGACAGCCAGCAUGUAAUUUCAAAUGUCCAGUCCAUCCAUGAACAAUAUGUUAGCCUUUGGCCAGGCGGUGAGCUUCCAAAACGCAAACAUCUCAGCCUCUGUCUGCAGAGGUGAGAAUUCAGCUCGGCAGAGGAAUGGGACACUGUCAAGGAAGACAAGCUUUUGGAGUCAGACAAUCCCAGCUAUUUGCUGAUUUAUUUGUUCAAUGCUGGUCUCCCACACUAGACCAUGAGCAGGAAGGAGAGGCAACAUGCAACUGUGCUCGUUGUCUACACAGGGCCUAGCACUGGGCCUGGGCCAGGGCAGGCACCUGGGAGAUUGCUGCAAGAGAGAAGGUCACCUAUCUCCCCAGGUAGCCUCUCUCACCCUGACAACGUAUCUUCACAGGUAAGGGACAAAGACAAGACUAGAAAUCAUCCCUCUGCCCACCUCAAGACAAAUGCAGAUCUGACUUCUUCUUCCUCUACUCUAUGUUUACUUUAUCUUAUGUUAAAAUACAAGAUUUACUGAGCAGGAGUCG